UAAGUAGGUAGUGAAAUCUGGUGGCUCAACCAUUCAGACUAUUACCUAAACUGAUAGACUCGAGAAUGUUAGGGGUAGCUGGAAUUUCUAGUGUAGGAGUGAAAUCCGUAGAUAUUAGAAAGAACACCGAUAGCGUAGGCAGGCUACUGGACCAUUUCUGACACUGAGGCACGAAAGCGUGGGGAGCGAACCGGAUUAGAUACCCGGGUAGUCCACGCCGUAAACUAUGGAUACUA
rnacentral:rRNA from 1 species